UACGGGGGGGGCAAGCGUUGUUCGGAAUUACUGGGCGUAAAGGGCUCGUAGGCGGCCAACUAAGUCAUACGUGAAAUCCCUCAGCUUAACUGGGGAACUGCGUCUGAUACUGGUUGGCUUGAGUGCAGGAGAGGAACGCGGAAUUCCAGGUGUAGCGGUGAAAUGCGUAGAUAUCUGGAGGAACACCGGUGGCGAAGGCGGCGUUCUGGACUGCAACUGACACUGAGGAACGAAAGCCAGGGAGCAAACGGG
rnacentral:rRNA from 1 species